UACAGAGGGUGCAAGCGUUGUUCGGAAUUAUUGGGCGUAAAGCGCGUGUAGGUGGCCUUGCAAGUCGGGUGUGAAAUCCCUCAGCUCAACUGAGGAAGUGCGCCCGAAACUGCAUGGCUUGAGUACCGGAGAGGAUGGCGGAAUUCCCCAAGUAGAGGUGAAAUUCGUAGAUAUGGGGAGGAACACCGGUGGCGAAGGCGGCCAUCUGGGUCGAUACUGACGCUGAGGUGCGAAAGCGUGGGGAGCAAACAGG
rnacentral:rRNA from 1 species